GUCAGGCAGUCCUGCAUGAUCCAGCCUCUGCUUCGCCUCUGGCCUCAUGUCUUGCCAGCCUCUCCAUCACUCCAUCUGAUGCUCUGGCCUCCGGGGUCCUCCCAGGCCAACUCUUGUUAGCCAGGUCUCGGCUCAAGUGUCCUCUCCUCCAAGAGGUCCCCCUCCACUUGCCUCUCAUCUCCCCUCCCCCACGUUCUCUAUGACGCUUGCCUCAGGUGUGACAGUAUGUUUAUAUGUUGUCCUUUUUACUGUCUUUCUCUUUCUAGCCUAGAGCUUGGCAUUGAAUAAAUAAUUGUUGAAUGAGUGAGUGAAUGAAUGAAUGAGCAGGUGUGCCAGAUCCCGCAGGGCCUUGCUCACCACGCCAAGUGCAAUCCUGGAGUUGGGAGGGCCGGAAGGAUUUCAAAUAAGGCCGCAACACCAUGACCAGAACUGUGUUGUUAAAAGGGCUUCCUGUCACCCCGUGAGGGGGGAGGAGAGAGGGAGGCAGGAGACCAGAGGAGAGGCCGUCGUGGUCUCCUUUCCCUCUCCCCUCUUCCCCUCCAGGCCUCACCCCUCCAAAAUGGGGUUUUGUCAGCUCAGAGCCCGGUUCCUCAUGAACUGUCACUGUAAACAGCCCAGAGGCCAGGAAGAAGAUUCUUUUUUAUUAUUUUUUCCUCCUUGAAAGACUAGCUUAAUGAAAAACUGCCGCACUGGGGGAGAGAAGAGAGAGGCCCUGCACGCCCGAGCUGAGGGGGGCGCUCGGCUCCUCUAGACAGAGCGGAGGCCCAGAGAGGGAUUCCCGCUGGCCGGGAGCAUCCCUGUGCACCUCAGGGCGGGUGCUGGACGCACAUUGUGCUUGAAAGAGUGCACACCGGGAGUGUCCUCGUCUCGUCUCGGAGCAGUCUGGCCCUGAAGGAAGGGAGGGCUCUGCAGGAAGCACACUGAGCCUUUGUGGGGCAGGAGGAAAACCCAGGGGCACCUAGAAACUCAGAAGGACUGUCUCGAGGGAGGUUGGGUCCUGUGAGGAGGUGUGGGGUCCUUGUGCGGACUCCUGAGGUAGAG
rnacentral:lncRNA from 1 species